AUGUACAAUUAAUGGGGGUUUUGCCGCUUUCGUUUUCAGCCAAUAGCCAACAAGUCGAAACACACACAACUUCACACGAGAAUUGCGUCACAGUUACACAAAUGCUACAGCAACAAAAAACUCAAAAAACAAAAAUAACGAAACGUUCGGCAGAGACCCAGAAACCCCAAACAGUCAAAACUUGCUGCGCAUGCGCCACCGCAAUCGAUGCCCGCUUUAACAGAAAUAACAUAUACACAUGUAAGCAGCACAUGUUAAUGUAUGCAAUUACCUAUAUAUGUACGGUAUAUUUAUAUAUUUUCAACGCUCAUUGAUUUUGUAAACUUAUAACAUUUAGUUCCUGAUCAUUUUCGUAAAGAAGGGCUUUGUAUCUAGCCACAGAAUCGCUUUCAAAUCAAGCACACAAGUCACUGAAAGCUUACGCCGAGCCCAAUGCCAGUCCGUGGCUCUCAAGUACCUAUAAAGUUCUUGCAACUUACUUUAACUUGUAUAAUUAUGUAUCACUGCUU